rnacentral:snRNA from 1 species
AUGCUCUCUUCGGCAGCACAUAUACUAAAAUUGGAAUGAUAAAGAGAAGAUUAGUGUGGCCCCUGGGCAAGGAGGACACCCAAAUUUCUGAAGAGUUCCAUAUUGUU